rnacentral:rRNA from 1 species
UAAUGGCCUACCAAGGCAACGACGGGUAACCGGCCUAAGAGGGCGAACGGUCACACUGGGACUGAGAUACGGCCCAGACUCCUACGGGAGGCAGCAGUGGGGAAUAUUGCGCAAUGGACGAAAGUCUGACGCAGCAACGCCGCGUGAGGGAUGAAGUACAUAGAGAUGUAAACCUCUUUCAGCAGGGACGAAGCGAAAGUGACGGUACCUGCAGAAGAAGCACCGGCUAACUACGUGCCAGCAGCCGCGGUAAUACGUAGGGUGCGAGCGUUGUCCGGAAUUACUGGGCGUAAAGAGUUCGUAGGCGGUUUGUCGCGUCGUUUGUGAAAACCCGGGGCUUAACCGGGGGCGUGCAGGCGAUACGGGCAGACUUGAGUACUACAGGGGAGACUGGAAUUCCUGGUGUAGCGGUGAAAUGCGCAGAUAUCAGGAGGAACACCGGUGGCGAAGGCGGGUCUCUGGGCCGAUACUGACGCUGAGGAGCGAAAGCGUGGGGAGCGAACAGGAUUAGAUACCCUGGUAGUCCACGCCGUAAACGUUGGGCGCUAGGU